rnacentral:rRNA from 1 species
UACGGAGGGUGCAAGCGUUAUCCGGAUUCACUGGGUUUAAAGGGUGCGUAGGUGGCUUGGUAAGUCAGUGGUGAAAGCCCGGAGCUCAACUCCGGAACUGCCAUUGAUACUGCUUAGCUUGAAUCAGGUCGAGGUGGAUGGAAUAUUACAUGUAGCGGUGAAAUGCUUAGAUAUGUAAUAGAACACCGAUUGCGAAGGCAGUUCACUAGGCCUGUAUUGACACUUGAGGCACGAAAAGCGUGGGGGAUCAAACAGG